CCUACGGGUGGCAGCAGUGGGGGAUAUUGCACAAUGGGGGGAACCCUGAUCCAGCGACGCCGCGUGAGUGAAGAAGUCUUUCGGUAUGUAAAGCUCUUUCAGCAGGGAAGAAAGAAAUGACUGUACUUGACCAAGAAGCCCCGGCUAACUACGUGCCAGCAGCCGGGGUACUACGUAGGGGGCAAGCGUUAUCCGGAAUUACUGGGUGUAAAGGUAGCGUAGACGGUUAAGUAAGUCUGGAGUGAAAGGCCGGGGCUCAACCCCGGGACUGCUCUGGAAACUAGUGAGCUUGAGUGCAGGAGAGGGGAGUGGAAUUCCUAGUGUAGCGGUGAAAUGCGUAGAGAUGAGGAGGAACACCAGUGGCGAAGGCGGCCUAUUGGAC
rnacentral:rRNA from 1 species